rnacentral:rRNA from 1 species
GACGAACGCUGGCGGCGUGCUUAACACAUGCAAGUCGAACGGAAAGGCCCUGCGUUUGUGGGGUGUUCGAGAGGCGAACGGGUGAGUAACACGUGAGUAACCUGCCCUUGACAUUGGGAUAACUUCAGGUAACUGGGGCUAAUACCGGAUAGGAGCUCCUGCGGCAUGGGGUGGGUUGGAAAGUUUCGGCGGUUGGGGAUGGACUCGCGGCUUAUCAGCUUGUUGGUGGGGUUGUGGCUUACCAAGGCGUUGACGGGUAGCCGGCCUGAGAGGGUGACCGGCCACAUUGGGACUGAGAUACGGCCCAGACUCCUACGGGAGGCAGCAGUGGGGAAUAUUGCACAAUGGGCGGAAGCCUGAUGCAGCGACGCCGCGUGCGGGAUGACGGCCUUCGGGUUGUAAACCGCUUUCGCCUGUGACGAAGCGAAAGUGACGGUAAUGGGAGAAGAAGCACCGGCUAACUACGUG